rnacentral:snRNA from 2 species
AUACUUACCUGGAUGGGGUCAAUGGGUGAUCAUGAAGGCCUAUGGCCUAGAAAGGUGACCUCCAUUGCACUUAGGAGGGGUGUUUUUCUAAGGUCUAUCCAAGUGGUGGAGCCUACAUUAUAAUUUGUUGCUGAGGGGGUCUGCGUUCGCGCGGCUUCCAU